rnacentral:rRNA from 1 species
GAUGAACGCUGGCGGCGUGCUUAACACAUGCAAGUCGAACGAUGAAGCCCAGCUUGCUGGGUGGAUUAGUGGCGAACGGGUGAGUAACACGUGAGUAACCUGCCCUUGACUCUGGGAUAAGCCUGGGAAACUGGGUCUAAUACUGGAUAUGACUUCUCAUCGCAUGGUGGGGGGUGGAAAGAUUUAUUGGUCUUGGAUGGACUCGCGGCCUAUCAGCUUGUUGGUGAGGUAAUGGCUCACCAAGGCGACGACGGGUAGCCGGCCUGAGAGGGUGACCGGCCACACUGGGACUGAGACACGGCCCAGACUCCUACGGGAGGCAGCAGUGGGGAAUAUUGCACAAUGGGCGCAAGCCUGAUGCAGCGACGCCGCGUGAGGGAUGACGGCCUUCGGGUUGUAAACCUCUUUCAGUAGGGAAGAAGCGAGAGGGACGGUACCUGCAGAAGAAGCGCCGGCUAACUACGU